UUUAAUUGAUCUAUAGCAACAUCAAUAUGCAUGUCUUCAGAUUGUAAAAUUCUUACUAACUGAGUUAACAGCAAACAAUAUAUCGUACCAAAUAUUCAUGCCUAAUAAGAAUUCAAAAUUUUCAAUCUCAUAUGUAGCUAAGCAUAUGGCUUCACUCUUUAUUUUAGGAUCUUCACUAGUUUCCGCUAAUUGAAUUAAGGCAUCUCUUAUUUUAGGAGCUUGAUGUUUAAUUGCUUUGAUACUUUCAAUACGAUUUUCCCAACGCGUUUGUGAUAAAGGUUUAAGAGUUAAUGUAGAUACAUUAUCUUGUAAAAUUUUCCAUCGUUUUGUAGAAGAAGAAAAUAAGGUAUAAAUUCGUUG
rnacentral:lncRNA from 1 species